rnacentral:lncRNA from 1 species
AAGUAUAAAUCAGAACGAAAGAAAUUGCUUCCCUAGAACAAAUCCAUUGACUGAGAUAUGCAGUGAAAGGAAUCCAAGCUGGCUGGGAUGAAAAUCACUUGGCCCCUGAGAUAAAUGUGGUCAAGGAAUCCUGACUGACAACAUCAGCAAAAGCAGAAAGAUUUCGUUGCAGUUUUGGUAAAAACUGCCCUCAUCAAACGAACUGAAAAAUAUUCUGUUCUCCAGCAUUUUCAGGAAGAGUUUGUGAAGGUUUGAUAUAUCUUCUGCAAAUAUCUGACAGAAUUCACCAACAAAGAUUGUAUUGGAUUCAAGCAUCUAAUCUGGAGAUUAAAAUAUAAUAACCUGCA